rnacentral:rRNA from 1 species
ACGAACGCUGGCGGCAGGCUUAACACAUGCAAGUCGAGCGCCCCGCAAGGGGAGCGGCAGACGGGUGAGUAACGCGUGGGAAUCUACCGAGCCCUACGGAAUAACGCAUGGAAACGUGUGCUAAUACCGUAUACGCCCUACGGGGGAAAGAUUUAUCGGGGUUUGAUGAGCCCGCGUUGGAUUAGCUAGUUGGUGGGGUAAAGGCCUACCAAGGCGACGAUCCAUAGCUGGUCUGAGAGGAUGAUCAGCCACAUUGGGACUGAGACACGGCCCAAACUCCUACGGGAGGCAGCAGUGGGGAAUAUUGGACAAUGGGCGAAAGCCUGAUCCAGCCAUGCCGCGUGAGUGAUGAAGGCCCUAGGGUUGUAAAGCUCUUUUGUGCGGGAAGAUAAUGACGGUACCGCAAGAAUAAGCCCCGGCUAACUUCGU